GCUUCCUUGGCUCAGUCGGUAGAGCGUCAGUCUCAUAAUCUGAAGGUCGCCAGUUCAAUCCUGGCAGGGAGCA
rnacentral:tRNA from 2 species